CAGCUGGUUUGCUUGACAGGCUGUUUGGGAGCCAUGAGUGCCAAGCACGACUCCUCAGAGGAACCCCGAGUGCCUGGCCCGGCUUUAGGGAUGCUUACAGUUUGGGGCGUAUGUCUCAGGCUCCUGAACAGACCAAAAGAACUGGCCAAAUGUUUCAAGAACUCUGAUUUGGAUGUACCAGACUCUGCUCUUCGUCAAGGCGAGCUGGGAUCCCAGCAUCACUUGGAGCAGGACUUCCAUCUCCUGGCUUCCUAGGUGUUAAGGAGAAACGACGAACAUGCAGAAAACCUGUCAGACCCCUGCUGCCAGAGCCAUGUGCCUGUCACCUGGAAUCUUUCAUGUCUCAGCCAUGCCUCCCCACUGCCCACACCCUGGCUGCCCACCAGCCCCCUUCUUUGGAUGCAUUUCAAAGCAAGCCAAGGAUCAUUGUAUGGAAGAUAAAUGAGGUCUGUUUCUGUGGAAGAGAAACACCUGCUACAAAGUCCUGCCAGCUGAAGGACUUGUCCCGCCCCCUCUCGGCUUCCUCUCCGAUUUCAUGAGAGCAUCUCAAAGCUCUUCCCAUCCUUGUUUUCCAGGUCUUUUUAAAAACUCACAUUGUCGUUCCUAUUAUUUGUAACUUCCAUGCUAUUUAAUCGGUUAUUAGUUAUAAUACCCCACCAAAGCAAUAGCAUCCUCCUAAAAUGUACAUCAGGCCACAUUGCUCCCUUGUCUGGAGAGCGUCCUUUCCCAGUGUGCCAGGCCCUGUGUGGCAUGGGUGCAUCCUUCCUCCUCCCCCCUCCCCUGUCCUCACCUUCUGCUCCUAUCCUCGGGGCGCCUUCUGCUUGCCUGGGGGCCUCCCCAACCACUUCACAUCUCAGUUCCUGUGCUCUUGUUUGCUCUUUCUCCAGGAAAUCUUGAAGGCCAGUGUCUCCUCACUGGCUCAGGGCUUGGCAAUGAUAUCCCUGCUCCCAGAAUCCUCCUUUAGCUCCCAACCUAGGUAGGAUCCCCGGUUAUACAGUAACAACUGUCUUAUUUAUGUGGUGACCUAUCUAUUCGGCUUUCCAUCUGGCCAGAGACUUCUGGUGCUUUGUUCAUGGGUGUCUCCAGUCUCUGGCACAGAACAUAAGCAUGUAGGAGAUGCUCAAAUAUAUGUACACGCACACAUACAUGCAUUUUAAAGCAUUUAUUUUAUUAUUUUUAAUUAGGUGUG